AUCCAUCUGACGAAUCCCAAAUGAGACAAAACGCGUGUCCUGGAU
rnacentral:hammerhead_ribozyme from 1 species